GGAUGCGAUCAUACCAGCACUAAUGCACCGGAUCCCAUCAGAACUCCGCAGUUAAGCUCCUUAGGGGCGAGAGUAGUACUAGGAUGGGUGACCUCCGCCCGGGAAGUGCCUCGUGUUGCAUUCC